CCUACGGGCGGCAGCAGUGGGGAAUAUUGCACAAUGGGGGAAACCCUGAUGCAGCGACGCCGCGUGAGUGAAGAAGUAUUUCGGUAUGUAAAGCUCUAUCAGCAGGAACGAGACAAGACGGUACCUGACUAAGAAGCCCCGGCUAACUACGUGCCAGCAGCCGCGGUAAUACGUAGGGGGCAAGCGUUAUCCGGAAUCACUGGGUGUAAAGGGAGCGUAGACGGCUGAGCAAGCCUGAAGUGAAAGGCGGGGGCCCAACCCCUGGACUGCUUUGGGAACUGUACGGCUGGAGUGCAGGAGAGGUAAGUGGAAUUCCUAGUGUAGCGGUGAAAUGCGUAGAUAUUAGGAGGAACACCGGUGGCGAAGGCGGCCUGCUGGACUGUGACUGACGUUGAGGCCCGAAGGCGUGGGGAGCAAACAGGAUUAGAUACCCCUGUAGUC
rnacentral:rRNA from 1 species